rnacentral:lncRNA from 1 species
GUAAGUGUUAGGAACUGAACCCAGGUUCUUUGUAAGAACAAGCGCUCUUAACCUCUGGGCCAUCUCUCCAGGCCUCUUAAAUACACUUAAAAAAAAGAUUUAUUUAUUUAUUUAUUUAUUUAUUUAUUUAUUUAUUUAUUUAUUUAUUUAAUGUAUGUGAGUACACUGUAACUGUACAGAUGGUUGUGAGCCUUCAUGUGGUUGUUGGGAAUUGAAUUUUUAGGACCUUUGCUUGCUCUGGUCGGCCCUGCUCUCUCAGUUCCUGCUUGCCCAAAGAUUUAUUUAUUAUUAUAGAUAAGUACAUUAUAGCUGACUUCAGAUGCACCAGAAGAGGACCUUAGAUCUCAUAUGAAUGGUUGUGAGCCACCAUAUGGUUUCUGGGAUUUGAACUCAGGACCUUUGGAAGAGCAGUCAGUGCUCUUACCCUCUGAGCCAUCUCGCUAUCCCCUUAAAUACACUUUUAACUGAAGAGUAAAUACACACAGAAAAUGCUCCAAUCCUGCCACCUCUCCUGUGUGAACGGAACAAUACCUCCAGCCCAAGGCUCCUGUGUGCUCCGCCAGUCCCAUCCCAAGGGCAGCCACUGUCUCGGCCUCUGCCACCACAGAUGAGUUUCAUCUAUUUUUGAACUUUGUCAAUGGAAUCUUGUAGUACAGGCUAUUUUUAUGUCUGGCUUCUGUUCACUCGUGUUGUGGAGGAUAGAACACUUUGCCCAGCCUCUUGCUGUACUGUGUUCUAUGACUGUCACUGCUAGGGAACGAGGACUGCCUGUGUUUAAUAUUGGAGGUGACUGCUGAACAUGUGUCACUGGUUUUACAUGGGGGGGCUCACUGCUUUUAUGAUAACCUGAAACUUCAGGUGAUAUCGCUAGAAUGGUUUAAAUUAUCAGAGAGGGAACCUGUGAACCCAUUUCUUCAUUCUUUCCUCCUUUGUUGAUAUUGAAUUUGCCAUGUAGCUCGGGAUGACCUUAAACUCUUGAUCCUCCUGCCUCAACCUUCUUAUUGCCACUAUACCCAAGUGAUUCGGUGCCGAGGAUCUAACCCAGAGCUGUGUGUAUACUAGGUGUUUUGUCUGCAUGUAUGUCAGUGCUCCACAGGCAUGCUUGGUGCCUACGGAGGCCAGAAGAGGACAUCAGGUCCCCUGUGAGUUACAGAUAGCUGCGAGCUGCCACGUGGGUACUUAGAAUUGAACUCAGGUUCCCUGGAAGAACAGCCAAUGCUGUUGACUUGGUGUGCUGUGUUGGAUCUCUGGCUUCGAUCUCCUGGACUCAGGUGAGCCUCCUGUCCCAGCCUGUGGAGCAUCUGGGAUUAUCACUGCUUGCUGCCUGUAUACUCGGCAUGUAACCUGACCUUGGACAGACUUGGGCCAAGAAUAUCCAGGACUCUCAGUUUGAAUAUUACCAUGAUUCUAGAAUGUGUGUGUGUGUGUGUGUGUGUGUGUGUGUGUGUGUGCAGGCACAUGUGUGCACACGCUUCCGGAAACUGAACCCAGGGCCUUGUACAUGCUAGAAAUCCCCCCACCACUGAGUUAUACUCUCAGCCCUUUAAAAUAUCUUUAUUAUACUCAUUCUGUGCAUGCAUGCAUUUGGGGUGUAAGCUUUACAUUUUCAAAAUCUGCUUUUAAUAUGGGUUCUAAACACUUUAACCUCCCUUCUAGCCCACCACCCACCAGAGGUAGUGGGAAAGAAAGAUUAUUAGGAUAAAGAGGAAGUGGACUUGUUUAGAAAUGGUUCUUUGGAGUAAAUCCCAUCUGCAUUGUCAG